rnacentral:rRNA from 1 species
AGUGAACGUUGGCGGCGUGGAUUAGGCAUGCAAGUCGAGCGAGAACCGUAGCAAUACGGGGACAGCGGCGAAAGGGACAGUAAUGUGUAGGUACCUACCCCCGGGUUCGGAUAGCUGCGGGAAACUGCAGGUAAUACCGAAUAAUGUCUCCGGACCAAAGGUGUGAUUCCACCUGGGGAGGGGCCUGCAUCCUAUUAGCUUGUUGGUGGGGUAACGGCCUACCAAGGCGACGAUGGGUAGCGGGUGUGAGAGCAUGACCCGCGUCAUUGGGACUGAGACACUGCCCAGACACCUACGGGUGGCUGCAGUCGAGAAUCUUCGGCAAUGGGCGCAAGCCUGACCGAGCGACGCCGCGUGCGGGAUGAAGGCCUUCGGGUUGUAAACCGCUGUCGUAGAGGAGGAAAUGCAGGGGGGUUCUCCCCUUUGCUCGACCUAUUCUAGGAGGAAGUACGGGCUAAGUUCGUGCCAGCCGCCGCGGUAA